rnacentral:tRNA from 1 species
GGCCCUGUGGCGCAGUUGGUUAGCGCGCUGCCCUGUCACGGCGGAGGUCACGGGUUCAAGUCCCGUCAGGAGCG